rnacentral:lncRNA from 1 species
AGCCAGGAGGACACAUUUAACAUUCCUUUCUGAAUCUUGUCAUCUACGAGCUAAAAUAUUCUUUGUAUAAGCAGAAAGCUGGUUGUGAGUUUGUGAGAAAGUAUGUAGAUGAAACACUUCCUCCCAUCAUUCCUAUAAAUAGAAAGCUGGCUGCGAGUUUCUCAGAAACUAGGGAAGGAGGCAGUUCCUCGAAUCAUUUCGCUGUCGACUCACGCUGCAGUCGCCGCUUUGAAGCCUCAAGGUGUAACAUCAAAAAUAGAACAGGGUUUCCUAGAAUGGGAAAUUGGUUCUCUGAUCACGUGGAUUUCUACCACUAUACCAGCGAAAGUGGAAUUGAUGCAAUCAUGGAUUCGGGAUACAUCAAAGAAAGCCAGACCGGUGGUCCUGAUGCAUUCUUCGGAUCAGGUGUCUACGGAACAUCACUGCCACCUUCCGUAGGUAAAAGAGAAAUAGCCAACAAUAACUGGAAAGAAGGUUGGAGAAGUCGGGAACAUGCUGGCAGGGUGGACUAUGUCAUCAAGCUGCAUAUUCCCUCAACCAGUUUAAAGGAAUUCAAAACACCCACCCGCCAAGUGUAUCUUCAUCCGGGUCGUAUCCAUCUUGACGACUAUUCGUGGGAAAUUCUGGAAGUAUAAAGGACUGUGCUGUUAUCCUUUGACAUCAUUACUCCAUCUUAAGUGUUAAUUGUACCCAGCUAUAACAAUUACAUAGCUUCUACCUAUGGGCAUUAACUGUUACGCUUACACCAAGUGUGAGACAACAAUCAGAAUUCCCCUUGUGAAUUAACUAAGUUGUUUUGAAUUGUAACUUUCACAACAGACGUAUAUUUAACAUUUCUCUGUUACAGCAGUUGCUAGUAUACAUCCAUGUGUAGGUAUUUGUAUGGUAUGGAUAAAUAGAUAGUAAAGAGCGUUUAUAAAAGUACCUCUACAACAAUGUAGGUGUUUUUAGUGUGAGGUUUUGGUUUUUUUUUUUUUUGGUUUUUGUUUGUUUGUUUGUUUUUUUACCAAAAUAACUGGACUAUCUUCUGUGGACUUUUAUUACAACAUAAGUAGCUCUCUUAAGUAGGGUACAAGUCAUAUACUGAUAACUGAUGUAUAAAACAAUAUUUGUUGUAAAGGGGACACUACAUUGAGAGAAGAUGGUCUGUUCCUAACUGAUAUGAAGGCUUGCAUCCCUGUUACCUUUAUUAACGCCAUCCGCAAAGCCAGUUAAUGUGAAAAUAGUAGCUGAUGAUACACUGCAUUUCCUUAUUUAGAGAAACUUACUAUGUGCACAGAACAGUUCCUGUUUAACAGCAGCUUCCACAUGUUAAAACAUUUUAUAACAAAUAGCAGUUUACAGCAACUUACACUAUUUAUAACAAAUUGCAAUAUACAGCAACUACCACAUUUUAAAACAAAUAGCAAUAUACAGCAACUAUCACUAUUUAUAACAAAUAACAAUAAACAGCAACUACCACAUUUUAUAACAAAUAACAACAUACAGCACCUACCACUAUUUCUAACAAAUAGCAAUAUACAUCAACUACCAUUGGGAAGCAUUUAUCCAUUAACAGCAGUAACCCUAACUCACAGAUACAUUGUGUAGGAAGAUGCUCGACUUUGUGUGACAAACUCCAUCCUGACGGUGAACGACUUUUACAUCAUUGCCUCCUAAAUAUCUUUUUGGGGGCGCUGCCUCCACCCCCUUGCCUACCCCACUGAGAUAUGUAUCACUGUUUUUGUGACUGCUAUAUGUUUCUAUAGAUAUACAAAGCAAUAUUUCUCCUACAUUAUUUCUUUACUAUUAAAUGUUUACAAUUCAA